AACCUCCGCAAUGUGAGAAAUCGCGACGGGGGGAUCCCAAGUGCCAUUCUUAACGGGAUGGCUUUUCAUUAGUGUAAAGAGCUUUUGGAAUAAGAGCUGGGCAAGACCGGUGCCAGCCGCCGCGGUAACACCGGCAGCUCUAGUGGUAACAAUUUUUAUUGGGCCUAAAGCGUCCGUAGCCGGUUUAAUAAGUCUCUGGUGAAAUCCUGCAGCUUAACUGUGGGAAUUGCUGGAGAUACUAUUAGACUUGAGAUCGGGAGAGGUUAGAGGUACUCCCAGGGUAGAGGUGAAAUUCUGUAAUCCUGGGAGGACCGCCUGUUGCGAAGGCGUCUAACUGGAACGAUUCUGACGGUGAGGGACGAAAGUUAGGGGCGCGAACCGGAUUAGAUACCCGGGUAGUCCUAACUGUAAACGAUGCGGACUUGGUGUUGGGGUGGCUUUGAGCUGCUCCAGUGCCGAAGGGAGCUGUAAGUCCGCCGCCUGGGAGUACGGUCGCAAGACUGAAACUUAAAGGAAUU
rnacentral:rRNA from 1 species